CAAGUUUCUGUGUAGCCAGUCUACAUGAGAAUCAAAUGAUGAACCAGACCUCUCAGCCCUUUCUACUUCUACCAUAUUUAUAUGAACAUGACAAAAAUAUAAAGAAUGGCGACAUGCUUCUUUAAACAAUUAGGCAGCAUUUCAAGUGUUCAGAAAUAAUCCCAAAAAUAAUAGAACAGACUCCCCGGUUGCUACUACCCAGAUGUAACACAGGAUUUGAGGACUUUUAAAUUCUUAAAAAAUUAAGUGUAGGCCGGGAGUGGCAGCUUACACCUGUAAUCCCAGCACUUUGGGAGGCCAAAGUGGG
rnacentral:lncRNA from 10 species